GUUUGAAACCCAGCAUUGCCUCUGACUUGCUAUGUGAUUCGAGUCAGUCUCAGUUGCCCCACCUGUAAAGUGUGUGUGGUAAAAGUACCAGCUGCAUAGCGUUCUUGGGAAGAUUGCAGGCUAUCGUCACCAGCCAGAUGAGCAAACUGAGGCUGAAGGAGAUUAAUUCACUCCCCGAGGCUGCAAAGCCAACGGCACAGUCAGGAUUUGAACCCUGGCAGGCUGCUCCAGGACUGCACCCCUGACUACUGUGCUUCUAACUGAGGAGCUACGCUCUUAAUUUUUUUUUUUUUUU
ensembl:lncRNA